UUCGCCAUGUUGGCCAGGAUGGUCUCAAACUCCUGACCUCAAGUGAUCCGCCCGCCUUGGCCUCCCAAAUGUUGGGAUUACAGGUGUGAGCCACUGCACCCACCUAAAUACUCUUGAGCGUUAACCAGAGUUUAACUUUUUCAUUCCAUUCCCAUAUGUGUGUCCUUAUUUCUCCACAGCCUCAACACCGAAUACAUUUGUUUUUAAAACUUUUUCCAGUGAAAGCUAAAAAGAAACUGGUUUAUUCUCUUCUGAACAAGGCUCUCAAUCUGUUACCCAAGCUGGAGUACAGUGGCAUGAUCAUAGCUCACUGCAGCCUUAAACUCCUGGGUUCAAGUGAUCCUCCAGCUUUAGCUUCCUGAGUAGCUGGGAUUAUGGGCACCAGCCUCCAUGCCUGGCUUCAAUUGCUUUCUCUGAUCUGUGUUGGUUAAUACCUCCAAUAAAAUAUAGUAAUGGAGAUCACAGGCACUGGUCCUGACUUCAGGGGCAAUAGGAAUAAUUCCUACUAGAAGCCUCAUUUUUCUGACAUACUCCUAGGCAAAUAAAUCAUAAAACUGUUCUAAGGAAGAAAAA